rnacentral:lncRNA from 1 species
AAAUGGGGCAGAGUUCAGAGCAGGGAAGCAGUCUCAGCAUGCAAUCCUGUGUGUGUCAAGGGUUGUCACAAAAGCAAGACUGAUUCAUGGUUCCAUUCAUUCCUCUGGCCAUUCACGCUUCACUCCUUUAGCUCUCCCCAGUGUCAUCAGCAGGUCAGGAUCUGGACAGGCAGGGCAGCCUUGAGGAAUAGUACACAGACCUGCAGGACAAGUGAAGGUUGCACAGUCUUCAAGAUGGGGCUGGGGAGACCUGAAACCUCAGGAAGCCACCUCUCACUCUGUGGGGAAGCCUCCAGCCUUUAUCUGAACACCUGGGCUCAGCUAUGCCCCCUUGAUACUGAGCUGAUAGAAACCUGGUACACACCUUCCUCCACCAGUGGAGAACUGAUGCCAACGUCUCUUCUAUGGAAGCCUUAGCAAGAAAUGAAGUCUCAGCCUGCAUCUGUUACUGCUCACUGGGGUCCCCUGAAGAAUAAAUGUGAUCCCAUACCACCA